CUCGCCGAGAAAGAAGUGUCAUUUCGCGGUUAAGGCGCUUCCUUUUUAUCGUCUGAAAGAUGUUGUUGAGGAGAUGAAGGGUCUGUUGUCGGAAAAGAUCGAAUCUUGCGGCGGCAUUUACCUGACGAACGAGGAAGGGGGGGAUCGAUAAGGAGCUAACAGAUUCUGGUCAUGGAGAGGAAACGGAGGAUCUGUUGCUUGCGGCAGUCUCCAAAUUGGUGAUUUUGCUCGAGGAAGAACGUCUUUGACCUGCAAACACUCUUGCAUUUGUGCAAAUGAGGGAUUUUGGCAUCCUAUGCCUUUGUCGAUUGGCAAACGUUGUGAACAUGCUUUAUGGUCAAUGAUGAAGCAACUAUUCGUCUGCUUUCGUGGAUGACAUCUCAUGUUCAUUGCGUGGGCAAAGACAUCCAUAAAUGUCUGAAUAAGUAUGUGUCGGAGCAGCUAAACAUGUCAUGGCCCUCUCAUUUUUGUUCUUUUGUUUUCAUUCCGGAUCUUUUUUGUGUUACAGGCAUGCUUGCUUUACUACCAUGUAAAUGUGAUGAUUCAUGGUUGUUCGAGGUUGAUGAUGACGUUUUAGACGCAUAAAAGAAUGUUGUUAAUCAAGCAGCUCUAUGUCUACCCAAUCUUGACCCGACUCAAUUGUCUGGCAUGUUAAAAUGUUUGCUUUUGGGGUUUGUGU